AAGUCGAGCGGACAGAAGGGAGCUUGCUCCCGGAUGUUAGCGGCGGACGGGUGAGUAACACGUGGGUAACCUGCCUGUAAGAGUGGGAUAACUCCGGGAAACCGGAGCUAAUACCGGAUAGUUCCUUGAACCGCAUGGUUCAAGGAUGAAAGACGGUUUCGGCUGUCACUUACAGAUGGACCCGCGGCGCAUUAGCUAGUUGGUGGGGUAAUGGCUCACCAAGGCGACGAUGCGUAGCCGACCUGAGAGGGUGAUCGGCCACACUGGGACUGAGACACGGCCCAUACUCCUACGGGAGGCAGCAGUAGGGAAUCUUCCGCAAUGGACGAAAGUCUGACGGAGCAACGCCGCGUGAGUGAUGAAGGUUUUCGGAUCGUAAAGCUCUGUUGUUAGGGAAGAACAAGUGCGAGAGUAACUGCUCGCACCUUGACGGUACCUAACCAGAAAGCCACGGCUAACUACGUGCCAGCAGCCGCGGUAAUACGUAGGUGGCAAGCGUUGUCCGGAAUUAUUGGGCGUAAAGGGCUCGCAUGCGGUUUCUUAAGUCUGAUGUGAAAGCCCCCGGCUCAANGGAGGAGGGUCAUUGGAAACUGGGAAACUUGACUGCAGAAGAGAAUAGUGGAACUCC
rnacentral:rRNA from 1 species